UNGGAGAGGAAAGUGGAAUUCCUAGUGUAGCGGUGAAAUGCGUAGAUAUUAGGAAGAACACCAGUGGCGAAGGCGACUUUCUGGACGAAAACUGACGCUGAGGCGCGAAAGCCAGGGGAGCGAACGGGAUUAGAUACCCCGGUAGUCCUGGCCGUAAACGAUGGGUACUAGGUGUAGGAGGUAUCGACCCCUUCUGUGCUGGAGUUAACGCAAUAAGUACCCCGCCUGGGGAGUACGACCGCAAGGUUGAAACUCAAAGGAAUUGACGGGGGCCCGCACAAGCGGUGGAGUAUGUGGUUUAAUUCGACGCAACGCGAAGAACCUUACCAGGUCUUGACAUUGAUGGACAGAACUAGAGAUAGUUCCUCUUCUUCGGAAGCCAGAAAACAGGUGGUGCACGGUUGUCGUCAGCUCGUGUCGUGAGAUGUUGGGUUAAGUCCCGCAACGAGUGCAACCCCUAUCUUAUGUUGCCAGCACGUAAAGGUGGGAACUCAUGAGAGACUGCCGCUGACAAUGCGGAGGAAGGCGGGGAUGACGUCAAAUCAUCAUGCCCCUUAUGACCUGGGCUACACACGUACUACAAUGGGAGUUAAUAGACGGAAGCGAGAUCGCGAGAUGGAGCAAACCCGAGAAACACUCUCUCAGUUCGGAUCGUAGGCUGCAACUCGCCUACGUGAAGUCGGAAUCGCUAGUAAUCGCAGGUCAGCAUACUGCGGUGAAUACGUUCCCGGGCCUUGUACACACCGCCCGUCACACCACGAAAGUCGGAAGUGCCCAA
rnacentral:rRNA from 1 species